GACGAAUAAGGUUCUUGGAGCUGCGACAGAAGAUGGGGAUCAUCGAGCUCAAGAGUAAGCAUUGUGCUUAAGGGGGUGAUUUGUUGUGUUAAUCACGUCGCUAGGUGUUAGUGUUUUCAAUUAGGCAGUAGGAUGUUUUAGUUUGCUGAAACGCCGGGUCAGAAGCGUGCUGUGUCCACGCUGCGACCGAGGGUUUUGCGCGGGGUUUGUUAGGCCACACCGUGGUGAUCAUGGGAUGACGCGAUGGAAGCGCGGCGUGGCGAUGGUGUCGGGUCAGCCGGCGGAUCCGCGAUGUAAGCCCCAAUAAGAUGAAGAGAAAAACAAAAAAGCUGUGUGCGGCAUUGCGCAGCAAAAAUACUUCUGCGUGUGUGUCUUCGGUAGUUCAUCGUCUUCCACCUCUGCGAGAGCGAGCGAGUUGCCGAUUUUGCAACGACAAAGUCGCCCUGGCCUUCCUCGUCACUAGAUCGAGUCGCGCCAGCCUCCCUUGUCGCCAGAUCGAGCCACCGAGGCCUCUGUCUGCCUGAUCCGUAGGGCGACGGCCUCGCACGCCUCCAGCACCCCCUGCGAGCUCUGCUGGACCCCAUGCUGCUCGACCGCUCUCCACCAUAGGCGAUGAUCCCUAGCAAAUGGAUCUGGGGCGCAGACAUCAUAGUCGGCAGCGGUCAUGGCGACCGUCACUUUUCCUGUGGCCUCCCUCCUGCGUCGUCCUCCACCUUCUCAAAUGGCCGCUGACCGAUCUGGCGACCGACAGAUCUGAUCCAUGAGGAGGAACUCUCCUCGCUGUCCAGUCAUCAGGACGGAAGCUCGCCGGCCAGAUUCUUGUCACCGACAGCCAUCCCUGUAGUCCGCCUGCUCGAUGCGGGAGCAGCAAGACAUGUGGUUGUUGUAGUGCAUGUGCCCUCAAGAUGAAGUGGAGCGUGCGUGCAGCCUAGCUGUCGUAGGUUUAAUUUUGUGACUUGUGGGUGACCACCACCUCUCGUGGGUGGUCCUCUACAUCAUCAAGGAAAAUAAAAGCAACAUCGACACUCCCCCAAGCACAGUUCGCCUCCCAUUCCUGGAACCAUGGAUGGUGAGCUCCUGUUUAACUCCUCUGCUCAUCAACGUGUAGUUCGGUAAUCCCUGUUUGUAGUUAACAUUGAUUCCGUUUUCAGCUUGCUAGAGGGACAGAGGAGGUGCUCUCAUGGAUGGGAUCCAUACCGUGACCAUGCAGUCCAUAGCGCACCUUAACAAUCCCACAUCUGUUCACUAUAUCCCUAUUUUUCAUUUUUGUAAGAACGAUUUGUUGUGCACUCACUAUUAGAGAAGAGAUAAUCAUUGUUCCUUUAAAAGAAGUUCAUUUGGUUGUUCGAAAAAAUGUAGAGAGGAAGUGAUAGUAAAAUAUGGAUGUGGAUGAAUGCUUGUGUGUAAUGCAUAGCGUGCAAACAAAAAAUGCAGUGCACC
rnacentral:lncRNA from 1 species